UACGGAAGGCAGCAGUGGGGAAUAUUGCACAAUGGGCGAAAGCCUGAUGCAGCUAUGCCGCGUGUAUGAAGAAGGCCUUAGGGUUGUAAAGUACUUUCAUCGGGGAGGAAAAACAAAACUAAUAAUUUUAUUUCUUGACGUUACCCGAAAAAGAAGCACCGGCUAACUCCGUGCCAGCAGCCGCGGUAAUACGGAGGGUGCUAGCGUUAAUCAGAAUUACUGGGCGUAAAGAGCACGUAGGUGGUUUUUUUAAAGUCAGAUGUGAAAUCCCUGGGCUUAACCUAGGAACUGCAUUUUGAAACUGAAAUACUAGAGUAUCGUAGAGGGAGGUAGAAUUCUAGGUGUAGCGGUGAAAUGCGUAGAUAUCUGGAGGAAUACCUGUGGCGAAAGCGGCCUCCUAAACGAAUACUGACACUGAGGUGCGAAAGCGUGGGGAGCAAACA
rnacentral:rRNA from 1 species